rnacentral:rRNA from 1 species
GGAAUAUUGGACAAUGGUCGAAAGCCUGAUCCAGCCAUGCCGCGUGUGUGAAGAAGGUCUUCGGAUUGUAAAGCACGUUAAGUUGGGAGGAAGGGCAGCAAGCUAAUAACUUGCUGUUUUGACGUUACCGACAGAAUAAGCACCGGCUAACUCUGUGCCAGCAGCCGCGGUAAUACAGAGGGUGCAAGCGUUAAUCGGAAUUACUGGGCGUAAAGCGCGCGUAGGUGGUUCGUUAAGUUGGAUGUGAAAGCCCCGGGCUCAACCUGGGAACUGCAUCCAAAACUGGCGAGCUAGAGUACGGUAGAGGGUGGUGGAAUUUCCUGUGUAGCGGUGUAAUGCGUAGAUAUAGGAAGGAACACCAGUGGCGAAGGCGACCACCCGGACUGAUACUGACACUGAGGUGCGAAAGCGUGGGGAGCAA